rnacentral:rRNA from 1 species
CUACGGGUCGCUGCAGUGAGGAAUUUUGCGCAAUGGGCGAAAGCCUGACGCAGCAACGCCGCGUGAGUGAUGAAGGCCUUCGGGUCGUAAAGCUCUGUCAAGUGGGAAGAACCUAUGUAAUGUUAAUAUCAUUAUAUACUGACGGUACCACUGAAGGAAGCACCGGCUAACUCCGUGCCAGCAGCCGCGGUAAUACGGGGGGUGCAAGCGUUAUUCGGAAUCAUUGGGCGUAAAGGGCACGUAGGCGGCCUGGUAAGUCAGAUGUGAAAGCCCGGGGCUUAACCCCGGAAGUGCAUUUGAUACUGUCAGGCUUGAGUAUGGGAGAGGGAAGUGGAAUUCCUGGUGUAGAGGUGAAAUUCGUAGAUAUCAGGAGGAACACCUGUGGCGAAGGCGACUUCCUGGACCAAUACUGACGCUGAGGUGCGAAGGCGUGGGUAGCAAACAGGAUUAGAUACCCCAGUAGUC